AGGGAGAAUAACACCGGUCACCAACAUACGACACACAGAGUGGUUGGUUCAGUGUGUCUCACUUGGUACAGAACAUCCCUCCCCAGGUCUGUAGGUACAGAACAUCCCUCCCCAGGUCAGUAGGUGGUACAGAACAUCCCUCCCCAGGUCAGUAGGUACAGAACAUCCCUCCCCAGGUCAGUAGGUACAGAACAUCCCUCCCCAGGGUCAGUAGGUGGUACAGAACAUCCCUCCCCAGGUCAGUAGGUACAGAACAUCCCUCCCCAGGUCAGUAGGUACAGAACAUCCCUCCCCAGGUCAGUAGGUGGUACAGAACAUCCCUCCCCAGGUCAGUAGGUACAGAACAUCCCUCCCCAGGUCAGUAGGUGGUACAGAACAUCCCUCCCCAGGGUCAGUAGGUGGUACAGAACAUCCCUCCCCAGGUCAGUAGGUACAGAACAUCCCUCCCCAGGUCAGUAGGUACAGAACAUCCCUCCCCAGGUCAGUAGGUACAGAACAUCCCUCCCCAGGUCAGUAGGUACAGAACAUCCCUCCCCAGGUCAGUAGGUACAGAACAUCCCUCCCCAGGUCUGUAGGUACAGAACAUCCCUCCACAGGUCAGUAGGUGGUACAGAACAUCCCUCCCCAGGUCAGGUGGUACAGAACAUCCCUCCCCAGGUCAGUAGGUACAGAACAUCCCUCCCCAGGUCAGUAGGUACAGAACAUCCCUCCCCAGGUCAGUAGGUGGUACAGAACAUCCCUCCCCAGGUCAGUAGGUACAGAACAUCCCUCCCCAGGUCAGUAGGUACAGAACAUCCCUCCCCAGGUCAGUAGGUGGUACAGAACAUCCCUCCCCAGGUCAGUAGGUACAGAACAUCCCUCCCCAGGUCAGUAGGUACAGAACAUCCCUCCCCAGGUCAGUAGGUGGUACAGAACAUCCCUAUCCAGGUCAGUAGGUGGUACAGAACAUCCCUGUCCAGGUCAGUAGGUACAGAACAUCCCUCCCCAGGUCAGUAGGUGGUACAGAACAUCCCUCCCCAGGUCAGUAGGUGGUACAGAACAUCCCUACCCAGGUCAGUAUGUACAGAACAUCCCUCCCCAGGUCUGUAGGUACAGAACAUCCCUCCCCAGGUCAGUAGGUGGUACAGAACAUCCCUCCCCAGGUCAGUAGGUACAGAACAUCCCUCCCCAGGUCAGUAGGUACAGAACAUCCCUCCCCAGGUCAGUAGGUACAGAACAUCCCUCCCCAGGUCAGUAGGUGGUACAGAACAUCCCUCCCCAGGUCAGUAGGUGGUACAGAACAUCCCUCCCCAGGUCAGUAGGUGGUACAGAACAUCCCUCCCCAGGUCAGUAGGUGGUACAGAACAUCCCUCCCCAGGUCAGUAGGUACAGAACAUCCCUCCCCAGGUCAGUAGGUGGUACAGAACAUCCCUCCCCAGGUCAGUAGGUGGUACAGAACAUCCCUCCCCAGGUCAGUAGGUGGUACAGAACAUCCCUCCCCAGGUCAGUAGGUGGUACAGAACAUCCCUCCCCAGGUCAGUAGGUACAGAACAUCCCUCCCCAGGUCAGUAGGUACAGAACAUCCCUCCCCAGGUCAGUAGGUACAGAACAUCCCUCCCCAGGUCAGUAGGUACAGAACAUCCCUCCCCAGGUCAGUAGGUACAGAACAUCCCUCCCCAGGUCAGUAGGUACAGAACAUCCCUCCCCAGGUCAGUAGGUGUGUCUCAGAGUGUGUGUGUG